CGCUGCUCCGGAGCGUGGCCUCCGCCUGGGGCGUUACGAAGACAAGGCCCCAGGACCAAUCGUAUUGGCCCGUGGGGGGCGGGGCCUCGCUGCGAGCUCCAGACCGGCGCUACCGGCACUCCUUUUGUCAUAUGAGAGACGCGGUGGGGCGGCCCCUCAGCCGCGGUUUAGCCAAUGGAGAAGGCGAGAUGGGCGGGCUGGGAGUGCCUGGCGGCGGGUCCUCAGCUGCGAGCCGAGGUGCAGUGAGCUGGUGGGGGGGACCGCGAGGCGAGCGCGGAAUCCUGGGCGGCGAGCGGGGUGUGAGCUGCUUGAAAAUGCACUCGGAUGCCGCCGCUGUCAAUUUUCAGCUGAACUCUCAUCUCUCAACACUGGCAAAUAUUCAUAAGAUCUACCACACCCUUAAUAAGCUGAACCUAACAGAAGACAUUGGCCAAGACGAUCACCAAACAGGAAGUCUGCGGUCUUGCAGUUCUUCAGACUGCUUUAAUAAAGUGAUGCCACCAAGGAAAAAGAGAAGACCUGCCUCUGGAGAUGAUUUAUCUGCCAAGAAAAGUAGACAUGAUAGCAUGUAUAGAAAAUAUGAUUCAACUAGAAUAAAGACUGAAGAAGAAGCCUUUUCAAGUAAAAGGUGCUUAGAAUGGUUCUAUGAAUAUGCAGGAACUGAUGAUGUUGUAGGCCCUGAAGGCAUGGAGAAAUUUUGUGAAGACAUUGGUGUUGAACCAGAAAACGUAGUUAUGCUUGUCCUAGCUUGGAAAUUGGAUGCACAAAACAUGGGUUAUUUUACUCUGCAGGAGUGGUUGAAAGGAAUGACUUCUCUCCAAUGUGAUACAACAGAAAAACUCAGAAAUACUUUGGAUUACUUAAGAUCAUUCUUAAAUGAUUCUACAAACUUUAAACUUAUUUACAGAUAUGCGUUUGACUUUGCACGGGAAAAGGACCAGCGCAGCCUAGACAUAAACACUGCCAAGUGCAUGUUGGGACUGUUAUUAGGAAAAAUCUGGCCCCUUUUUCCAGUUUUUCACCAAUUCUUAGAGCAAUCAAAAUACAAAGUUAUUAAUAAAGACCAGUGGUGCAAUGUCCUAGAGUUUAGCAGAACAAUUAAUCUUGACCUCAGCAACUAUGAUGAAGAUGGAGCAUGGCCAGUUUUGUUGGACGAGUUUGUGGAAUGGUAUAAAGACAAACAGAUGUCCUAGGACUUUAUGCAUAGCAGCGAGAGAGUCACUGUUACCACAGUUAUGUCACCCAUUAGCCAUAAAUUGCUGUUUGUAUCAAAGCGCAUGCUGCUUUUCUUGCACUGUUUCCCUUUCGCAGGAACAUGUUGGUGUUUGCUAUUGAAUUGGCCAGCUCUGCUUGCUGUGUGGCAUUGUUCUCUUUGAAGGCUGCUUUGCAGUUUGUAUUUACACUACAGAUUGGUGAAUUUGCCAAUGUCCUCACUGUGAUUAUGUGUAUAUUGCUGUUUAAAUUUUGUAUAUGUGUAUAAAAGGAAAAAUCUUCACCUAGAGAUUAUUUCUGAAAAAUGUAUUGUAAAAAUAAUUUUGUGGCAUUUCUAGUCCCUUUUUUGAAUGAACCAAUUAUACUUUAUUUGGUCUCCUAUGUAGCAUAUCAGAAAACACGACAAAACUGUUACCAUGAACAAACAUUGCCAGAAUUAACCUUACUGUUUAAGAGGCCAACUUCUGGAAGGAGAACAGAUGUGUAAAUUUUUUCUUCUCUUCUGGCUUUCUCUUCAAAAACCAUUUAAGGUAAUCUUUAAAGCAUUUUUCAUCCUUUGUUGUUUGUUUUUUCCAAUUUUCUAUUGAAAAUUUCCAAAGCUACAAUAAUAUAAUGAACAUCUGUGUACCUGUCACUUAGAUUUUUCAGUUGUUAACAUUUUACCGUAUUUCCUGCCUUACUCUUGUGCUAUACAUGUGUGUGUACUUCUCACUUUCUGUAAAUAGAUUCUGAAAAUAAAUUAUAUUAUGACACUUCACACCUGAUAUUUUGGAAUAAGGGCAUUCUCCUAUGAUGCAUGAUACAAUGAUACAAUGAUCAUGCUCAAGAAGUUUAAUGGUGGUACAAUACUAUAAUAAACUGUGCAGAUUUAAAUAUCCCCAUUUGUACCAGUCAUGGUCUUGAUAGCUGUUAUCUUUUUAAUCCAGGGAUAAGCAUUGUAUUUAGUUGUUACACCUCUUUAGUCUCUUCCAAUAUAGAAACAGUAUUUUAAAUGUUUUGAUUAAAGAUAGUGCAGUCACUCCUCAGCCAAAUCGUGAUUUUCUAAAAACCCACCGUGUUUUGUGUAUUUUUACAUAUUGAGCUAAGAAGAAUUAAGCACAUACUGUGGGCCACAAGCCAGGCAGGAAUGACCACUUUUACUGCCCUCAAGGCUGCCACCCAGUUGAUCUGUAAGUGUGUAUUAGCCCUGGCUACCCCUUUCUAAAAUUGUCUUACACUAUACUAGAAUGUAAGCUUUCUGAGGGAGGACCUCUGGCCAGGUAGUGGAUGGCCAGAAAAUGGAAGGAAGCAGAUAACAGAAUUUCCUCUCUGGGGAAAGAAUUGUCAGGACCUAAGAAACAUGUAAAGAUUAGAAAAUCCAAGAAUAAAUCGAGGAUAAUUUUGAUUUUUAUAAGCUUGAAAGCAAGAGAGAGGAAGUAGAAAAUAAGAUUCCUUAGAAUCCAGGUGCACACUGUUAAAAUUGUCAAUGUGGAUGAUUCUUUAAACCAUAAUUUGGGCCAAAAGCUGAGCAUCACGCCAAGAAAAUACCUCUGCUUCUAGACAUCAAGAGAGGUGAAGAUAAAGGAAAAAGCUUAAUGCCAAAUUGAUAGGAGUGAGAGGCAACAAACCUUAGGACAGGGAAUUCUUAACUUGUGGCAGAGCAAACAGUAGAAACUCAUGAGACAUGUUAUCCAGUAAUAGAAAAUAGGAACAUGAGAUUUAUUCCACUGGACAGUACUAGGGCUCUACAUGUAUAUUCAUGGGAAUUGAAAUAAAGUUCUCCGGUGUAAUUGGAACAAGAUAGACUGAGGAGAGAGUAAACCACGAAUGCUGGCUCAAGACAAAAAACCCAGCAGAGAUGCAUUGCAGACAUACCCAUGACGGAAAAACUUACACAAGAUCACUCUAAAGGAAAGACAUUGUUAAGCCCUUUGAAAUGAUGGGGUGGAGAGGAAAGUGAACUGAAAAAAUGAAAAACACCCACAGGAAGAAAUUGAAGACGAUUGAGUCAACCCCAGGGCUACCGAAGUGAGGAAGAAAGUUGGCUGUUUCCAGACAGUGACUUUCUUAAUUUGUUGAGCAUACAUGAAGGCAGGACAUGCUUUUUCUAUGGUAGCUGGUUGCAUCAAAUAGAAAUGAGUUAUUGGAAUGUUACCUCCAAAUCCUUACAUGAAGAGUAAGCAAAAGAUGAAAGCUUUUGAUUCCUUUACAAAAGAAUUGCUUUUGGGACUUUACUAUAGCUAGAAAAAAAAAAAACCUAUCACGCGAGGAAAUAACACAUCAAGCCUUCUGGCCCGGUAAGGCAGAAGGUAAUUCAAAAUCGGCAUGUUCACCACUUUUGGCAUGUUCAGCAGAAAAAUGUUUAGCUUUUUCUCUGCCAGAAUUUGUUCCUAGCAUUUAUUUCCAGUUGCCUUAACAAAAAAUAAAAUCAUCCCAUGUAUAUAAGUACUUGCUUAGAAAUCAUGGUGAAUUAGUACGUAGGCUAUGCUGAGAAUAAUAAUUGGAAACUGAAAAACAAAGAUCGACUAUAGUAAUUAAAUGGAAACUUUAAAAACCAUCAUUUAAAAUGUGAAUCUCUUCUCCAAUAAGUGUAUUCGGUCCUUUGAAAGAAAUUCCUUUGCAAUCACUCUCUGAAGAAUAUAGAUUGUAAAGAAUCCUGGCUGUGAGAAAGGAAGCUGAAAAGGGUUUGUUUUUCCCUCUGACACUUUGCAGCAGAGACAUCUCAGAACUACCUAAGUGUGAAUAUCUAAAAUUACAAACUAGUGUUCUCUAGAAAUCUUAGGAUACAUGUAUGAUGGUAUAGAAAGCUACAGCUGUACUCAUUACCAGUGAAAUAACUCAUGAAAAAGUUUUGGGCCAACUUUCAAUAGCAUGUUGAAAGUCAUUGCAUUUUCUUUGUCUCUACUUGCUUAUUGUUCAUUUUAGCUUCAUUACCUGUAGUGACUUCUAUGUAUCCCAUUGUAAGAGUAGGGCCUGGACAAGGUUUGUAAUCCUAUCCCAUUUCCAAAAUUAUUGAAUAAAGUAAUAGAUGCCUUCUA